rnacentral:rRNA from 1 species
ACACGAAUCUUAGCAAUGGAUAUCUCAGCUCUCGCAUCGAUGAAUAGCACAGCAAAAUGGGAUACGUGGUGUGAAUUGCAGAAUCACGCAAACCAUCAAGUCUUUGAAUGCAAGUUGCGACCGAGGCCAACCGACCAAGGGCACAUCCUCCUGGACGUCAAGC